rnacentral:rRNA from 1 species
CCUACGGGAGGCUGCAGUCGAGAAUCAUUCACAAUGGGGAAAACCCUGAUGGUGCGACGCCGCGUGGGGGAAUGAAGGUCUUCGGAUUGUAAACCCCUGUCAUGUGGGAGCAAAUUAAAAAGAUAGUACCACAAGAGGAAGAGACGGCUAACUCUGUGCCAGCAGCCGCGGUAAUACAGAGGUCUCAAGCGUUGUUCGGAAUCACUGGGCGUAAGGCGGGCGUAGGCUGUUUCGUAAGUCGUGUGUGAAAGGCGCGGGCUCAACCCGCGGACGGCACAUGAUACUGCGAGACUAGAGUAAUGGAGGGGGAACCGGAAUUCUCGGUGUAGCAGUGAAAUGCGUAGAUAUCGAGAGGAACACUCGUGGCGAAGGCGGGUUCCUGGACAUUAACUGACGCUGAGGCACGAAGGCCAGGGGAGCGAAAGGGAUUAGAUACCCCAGUAGUC